AAGAUUAUUUUUAACUCUCAGUUGAGAAAAUUCUGUUUUCUGGCUCAGACACCUUUUAGAUUAAUAUGCUUCCUAAAAUUGAAAUGACUCAUCAGGAUCUGUACUUUGAAUGGGCUGUGGGCUUGGUUCACACAUCGCUCUUCAGAGAGCCGUUUGAUCUCAGCCUCCGGAGAAGUCCCUCAGCUACCCACAUGGAUAAUAGGGGAAACCUGAUGUAGGAGCUGUCAAGGACAAACCCCAAGCCGAGCAAAGUGUAAACUCUGUUAUCACUGAAGAAAGGCUUUGUGAGUAAAAGGGGAAGGGGUUUGGCAUUAAUUGGAACACUUGUCAGUCUCAGCAAAGAUGGAGAGGGAGAAAGAAAAGGAAACAAAAACAGGCUCUCAGACUGCGAAUGCGCCAUUUGACAGAAAAGCAUUUUCAGCGUUGGCAUUUCGAGGAAGGAGAGAGAAGAGAGGAAUAGUUAAAAAAGAGAAAGCUGGAGACUGGUAAAAAGAGUGAUGUCGAUGGUCCAACAGGAAGAGGCCUUUGCAAAGCAGCUUCGGGCACUGGGUAA